UAUUUUUAUUUUAUUUUGAGGCAAUUUUAUCUUAUCCAAGGGACUUAUGACUGUUUAAAAAUUGAGAAAGUUGUUUCAUUAAUCCAUCUGUAGCCACCAAAAACGUGUUUACUUUCUAUAAACAAUGUUCAUCAUACUAAUUGGUAAAUCCAUACACCCUUAGAAACGCAGAAACAUUAUACUACCAUGUUGUCAGUUAGUUUUAAAUUUAUCAAAACGCAAACCGCUUGAUUUAAAAAUAAAUGGACUUUCAAAAUAAACGGCUCAUAUAUAUACAAUACACGUGCAUGCAUAAAGUUAUAUCUGCCAGCUGAAAUUUGCCACGCCACGGGUACGCUUAAUCGUCGUGUUUCGAUCCUGUCUUUCGCCGAUUCAAUUUUUAAAUCUUUCAAUUAUUAAUCAGCUUUCGACGUCACGAUCCAAAAAAAAAAAAAAAAAAAGAGUUUCCAGUUGAGAGGCAUUGAAUUCCAUUAACAGAUGAAUACAUUUAUCGGGAGUUAAUGGACGAGUCACGUCAUUCAAGUUGUUUCUUCCUUUUCUUUCUUUUUUUUUAUUUUUUUCUUUCAGAAUCUCCUCCGAUAGUAUGGAAUAAAAUAGAAUCGAACGGAGUUCCGCGAAAUCGCGCGGAUAAGCCGCUGAUGUUUCGAAUUUGCAUCGAACAGACAACGCUGCUGCAAGUUGGACAGUGUAGCUGAGUCGGGAAUGAGUGGAGAUGGUGGAGCCAGGAGAGAAAAUUGAUAGCUGACGGAUAAACCGGCCCGAACGAAUCGAAAGUGGAAGCAAUCGUUGCCCGUUGGAAAAUUAUCAAGCGACGAGUUCGUCUGUCCAAAAGAGCGAAGUGUUGUAUACUAUAUCGCGGGUGUUGCCUUUUCUGGCGUUGCGAGACACCGAGGAACAACAACACACAGGACUGAGAGGGUAAACUGGAAAAUUUCGCGGAAAGUUGCUGGAGAGUGCAGCUAUCUCAGCUCGUUACUCCGUGUUUCCGGCGCCCGGCAAGUUUACGAAAGCUCGCGCCCCCCUCCCUUCCCCUCUCGUCCGGCACUUCACUUCCGCGAUAUAAUUUUCGUGGCUGUAAGGAGAGCUCUCGCCUCUCUCCACUCUUCCGUCGACAAUUUUCGUCGAAUAAAGUCGCCGAGAUAACCGGCUACGACGGCCACGAAGACGACUACUCGCGACAUUCCAGAACUUUUUUGCCCCCUUUCUUCACCUUCCUUUCGACCGCCACCGAUUCGCGUUACUUUCUCGCAAACCAGAAUCAUUGCCACUAUUCUUUCCAAGAAUAAUUCGCCGUAAUAACAGUCGACUAGCCAUUAUAUACGUACUCGUCAGUGAAAGGGACAGAAGAAAAAGAAGAAGAAAGGAAGAAAGUCGACUGGCAGGAGAGGAUGAAAGCCUCUUGCGUCGCGGUGUAAACUCGAUAUCGGGGUAAAUCGAAUACGUAGGCGAACGAUGGACGAACUGUGCCGAGAGACAAUUUGAUCUCCAGGACAGAGGCGAGAUGAUGGACCACGAGAGAGAGAGAGAGAGAGAGAGAAAGGCUCGGCCAAUUUACUGGAAGAGGAGAACUCGAAUUAUCGAAACGCUUGUCUAAAAGUGGAAUUGAAAGAAAGUCACUGGAAGCUGAUCAUGUUCUAAUAAAUCCUAACGUUUGUCAACAUAUCACAGGUGAGCAGACAGGUAACGAGCCGGUAAAUAAGCGUAACUGUUUGCGCCAACCCCGAUCGAAAAGACGAUAUAGAACGAGGCCGAAGGACACGGACAGUGAUUCGAAGGAUCAUUAAAUACGCGUCACGUUUCCCGAUUUGAAUCUCCUUCUGUAAUCGACGAACCUCCGUCGUCCACGAUCACCAAGAUGUUUGGCCUGUUGACCAAGGCGAAGACCGAAGAACAAAGUACUAAUAGUACUUUAAUAAGGAGAUGCGCGUGUGUGGGUGCACGUAAACCCGAAUGAAUCUGAGAGGAAGCAGGCGUGAAGUCUUUUCCGGAAGAAAUAUGAAGGGAAACGUUACUCGUGUGAAAUAUACCUCUCACUAUGAGAGAUUUUUCUAGGUUUUGUAGACUGAAGAACAGAAUUUCCAUUCAAAAUCUAUCAAUCAACCUCUUCGAGGUGACUGACGCAUGUGUGCGAAGGAAUGAAAGUGAAAACAGAGGAUGCAAAAUGAUGGAAAUUAUUGCAGAAAUAACGAAAACUCAGGCAUUGAAAGUUUGGAAAUAUUAUCAGACAUGCAGCUCUUAUUGUAUUCAUUGUUUUCUCCAAUUUAAUGAAAACCUAAUCAAGCAAAAAAUCACAUAACUUUUUCGACACUUUAAAAAAUUCGUCCCUGAAGAGACAAUCAACAAAUCGCAACUUAUAAUAGUGACUUAUCCCAUUUGAAGCAACAGAAUUAACAGAGUACCUCGACAUUUCCAGGAGUCCGGACUCGAGACGAGCAGUAUAAACGUUGACGAUCGACGUUGAAAUGUGGUAAUUUCCCAAGAAGAGGCUAGUGGGCAGUAGAGGAUAAUUGUAACUGUAACUUCGCGAACGUUGGAAAUAUCACCGGAUUAUGCCCGAGAAACGGUCAAGAAAUUUCGUGCAUCCGGAGGUACUCGAGAAUUUCCACGAGAUUCUGGAAACUUGGUGAGAUUCUCGACGCCUUUUCUGACGUUUUUUCGCGCGGCCAGACUCGAAGAUUUCUCGAGGCAUUGGCCAUCGACGGCGCGUGACUGGCGAGAGCGGUCUGACAAGGCCCCCCCGAAACGAAAAAUGUCGGAUAUUUCUAUCGCCGCGGAAUAAUAUUGGACGCGAUCGAAAGCUUUAGAGGGCCAAAUUGCUCGAAAACUCGCAACAGAAGGAGAAUGAAAUAGCCGCGGCGAGGGGAGGAAAAAGGCAGAGGGAAGGCCGGAGGCUUCCAAGGGGAAAUCGAAGCGGAACGAACGAGGAAGAGAGACGGACAGAGGGUGAACAAAGAGCGCAACUGUCACUACGGAUUAUAAGCAAUUACGAAGAUAAGUUGAUCGGACUCUGUUUCCAUCGGAAAGAUUAAACGGGGAAUGUCGCACGUGCUCGCGGGAGUUACUGUGCGCACGAUCGAUUCUGUAAACGCGUAAUUAACGGAUCGGCGUCAGUUCGCAAAUUGGACUGUAAAAAUUACCGGCACGUUGUUCCAAUACGCCGGCGCCGAACUUUCAAUUUAGAGCGUAAAACAGUCGGCCGAACUUUCAAUUUAGUGCGCAAAAAAGGAAAGAGUUUGCACGUACAGUUACUCGCUUAAUUAAUAUUAAAGCUGUUGCGAUCGCGUGGGAAAAAAUCGUGCAACAAUAAACCUGGGUUCUUUUUUUUUUUUUUUUU